GAUGAACGCUGGCGGCGUGCCUAAUACAUGCAAGUCGAGCGAACAGAUAAGGAGCUUGCUCCUUUGACGUUAGCGGCGGACGGGUGAGUAACACGUGGGUAACCUACCUAUAAGACUGGAAUAACUCCGGGAAACCGGGGCUAAUGCCGGAUAACAUUUAGAACCGCAUGGUUCUAAAGUGAAAGAUGGUUUUACUAUCACUUAUAGAUGGACCCGCGCCGUAUUAGCUAGUUGGUAAGGUAACGGCUUACCAAGGCAACGAUACGUAGCCGACCUGAGAGGGCGGCCGCCCACAUUGGAAUGAGGACCCGGCCCAGCCCCCGAGGGGGGGCAGCAGGAGGAAUGUCUCCGGAAUGGCGGAAAGCCGGAGGGACCAGCGCGGGGGGGGUAAUAAAGUUUUUCGUAUCUAAAACCGUUUUUAUGGGAAAAAAAAAAAUUGGCAAGAAACUGUCCCGGCCUGGCGGGUCCUAAUACAAAAACCCCCGCUAACCUCCGU
rnacentral:rRNA from 1 species